CAUUCAGUGCUAGUGAUUACAAGCUUGCGGCUAAAUUCACACGAUAUCACACACAUACAUACAAGCGAGGUUCGCAACACCUCCCCCCUUAUACAAAAGGUGUUUCCAAUGGGAACAGCUUUCCUUAAAGUGUUUACGCUAGCCUAAAUUACAUUGUUUGUACGGAAACUUCGCGUUGUCACACCCUUCUAUACAAGCGAUAUUUUUUACGUUGCAUGAACCAUAUAAUAAUACGUUGUAGAUAUUAUAAGUUCUCAGGAUACAUAACUUAAACCCUAAAGUAAGAAUAGGUCAUUACAUUUUCUUGUGACUUUGAAUGGCCCUGCCAAAUUGCAAUCAAAUUUCAAGAUUUCUAGUUCUUUAGGUUUACUGCUGCUGCAGAUUGCGUGUUUCUAAUUCUGAAGAACAAAUCAUCCAAUUAACCUAAGAAAGUACGUGGAGGUUCCUGCUUAAAAAAAACUCAGAUGGAAUGGUGGCUUUCACACCGACUACCAAUUUGUGUGGGGUGAAACCAGUGGCUUCAUGUACUGAGAGUUUACGGGAGGCAAAUCGUUGGCGCCUACGACAUCCUCCCGCAACCCCCAAAAAGGAGAGGCGUCUGUGUCGUCUGUUUCAAUUUAAUUUGAGGAUUGCGGAACAACGCAUCGGCAUUCAGCGAAAUCUACCUUACAAACGUUCGCGUUUCCGAUAAGAGGCUACGAAGAUAGGGACAAUCUUGACCCUUCGACCGUUACUGAUUCUAAUCUACGUGCAAUGUCGAUAACAGCUUCAAGAUCUGGUAUUUCUUGACUGUUUUUAUUUUUAAGCAUUAUUCUUAACAUUCCGUUCCGAAGGCCAUUAAUAAAUGUGGCUAUAGCCGUAUUAUUCAAUAAAUCAACAACACCGCUUAACUGUUCAGAAUUGUACGUGUCCUUUGCUACUUCUAUUCCGGUAUUUAAUAUUUUACUUACUCGCGAUCCGAAAACCUCUACCGAAUCAUUAGUUCCCUGUUUCAAUCCCGUAAAUUCCUCGUUGAUACUAUGCAUGUUAAACGUACGCACGUAUGCCCUUUUAAGUAAUCCAAUUAACUCAUCUAAUGUACUUGGUUCCCGGCGAUUUGAAAGUACUAAUUUUGCAUGCCCCUCGAUUUUACCACGAAUUAAAAACAGAAGACCGGCUCUAUCCUCAGGCUUUACUUUGGAACUAAUCAGUUGACACUCCUUAAUAAAUUCAGUCAGAGAACAAGAUUUUCCAUCAAACUGAGGUAUCAAAUCCUUCACUAAAGAGAGACGAAGAUAUGACGCUGGAAGCAUACUAGAUGACUCUAUAGAGGUUGGAGUAUUUUUAGAAACAGCAGCAGCAAACGUAGUCGAGGACAAAGAUCGGUAGAAGAUGCCCCGGAAGAUGAAGAAAGUUCUGCAUUUGAUGAAUCUAUGUUUAAUUCCUCUACCAAAAAUGUAUUUUCCCGCAGGCCGAUUUUGCGACUCCUUUUGGCGCGCAUAUACUUUAACUUAUACGGCGGCAUUUUGUCGAAUUAUUUCUAACGGUAAUUAUAAAAAUAAUACUCUAUAGUCCAAUUACUUAUAAGAUAGACUUACAGUUUGGUAAGGCGAUCGGCUAACGCUUCGCAAUAAAUCACGUUUAGAUUUCA